rnacentral:rRNA from 1 species
AUUGAACGCUGGCGGCAGGCCUAACACAUGCAAGUCGAACGGCAGCACAGAAGAGCUUGCUCUUUGGGUGGCGAGUGGCGGACGGGUGAGUAAUGUCUGGGAAACUGCCCGAUGGAGGGGGAUAACUACUGGAAACGGUAGCUAAUACCGCAUAACGUCGCGAGACCAAAGUGGGGGACCUUCGGGCCUCACACCAUCGGAUGUGCCAAGAUGGGAUUAGCUAGUAGGUGGGGUAAUGGCUAACCUAGGCGACGAUCCCUAGCUGGUCUGAGAGGAUGACCAGCCACACUGGAACUGAGACACGGUCCAGACUCCUACGGGAGGCAGCAGUGGGGAAUAUUGCACAAUGGGCGCAAGCCUGAUGCAGCCAUGCCGCGUGUAUGAAGAAGGCCUUCGGGUUGUAAAGUACUUUCAGCGGGGAGGAAGGCGGUGAGGUUAAUAACCUUGCCGAUUGACGUUACCCGCAGAAGAAGCACCGGCUAACUCCGUGCCAGCCGCCGCGGUAA